UUUACAGUCACUUCUGCUCUUGUUCCAGGUGAAAUAAUUGGUGGAGAAAUAAUAACAUUUUCCUCCAUUUAGAUCCCAGUCUGGUUCACAUGUUGGAUAUUGUUCAGCUUUGAACACAAUAAAUGACAUGUUUCAGGUUUGAUGUUGCAGAGCCUUUUCUUCCUCCAUCUCCUCAGACUAAUUGCACCUGGUGUCUCCUCCUACUGAGGCCUCUGACGUCUCCUCCUACAUGACGACCCACCAACCCUCUGCUUUGAUUCUCUGCCAGCUGUUUCUGGAUUCUGGGCCUCGUGGUCUGUGUCUGACUGACGGAUGCAGAACCUCCUGUGGUGUUUGUGGACCUGUGGUUUCUAUUGGUGACUGGUUUGUGCUCGGCUCAUCGCUCUCAGUCUUCAGGAUCCAGACUCCAGUUUUAAUGGAUGGAAGCUUUGUGUGUAAAUCAUAGUAUUUGUUGUCACAGCAGUCAGUCAUCAAGCAUCUGUUAGUGUGACGUGUUGUUAGACUCACCUUCAG